GACGAACACUGGCGGCGUGCUUAACACAUGCAAGUCGAACGGUAAGGCCCUUCGGGGUACACGAGUGGCGAACGGGUGAGUAACACGUGGGUGAUCUGCCCUGCACUUCGGGAUAAGCCUGGGAGACUGGGUCUAAUACCGGAUAGGACCACUGCCUGCAUGGGUGGUGGUGGAAAGCUUUUGCGGUGUGGGAUGGGCCCGCGGCCUAUCAGCUGGUUGGUGGGGUGAUGGCCUACCAAGGCGACGACGGGUAGCCGGCCUGAGAGGGUGACCGGGCACACUGGGACUGUGAUACGGCCCAGACUCCUACGGGAGGCUGCAGUGGGGAAUAUUGCACAAUGGGCGCAAGCCUGAUGCAGCGGCGCCGCGUGAGGGAUGACGGCCUUCGGGUUGUAAACCUCUUUCAGCACCGACGAAGCGCAAGUGACGGUAGGUGCAGAAGAAGGACCGGCCAACUACGUGCCAGCCGCCGCAGUAA
rnacentral:rRNA from 1 species